GACGAACGCUGGCGGCGUGCUUAACACAUGCAAGUCGUACGGUAAGGCCCUUUCGGGGGUACACGAGUGGCGAACGGGCGAGUAACACGUGAGUAACCUGCCCACAACUUUGGGAUAACGCUAGGAAACUGGUGCUAAUACUGGAUAUGUGCUCCUGCUGCAUGGAGGGGGUUGGAAAGCUCCGGCGGUUGUGGAUGGACUCGCGGCCUAUCAGCUUGUUGGUGGGGUAGUGGCCUACCAAGGCGGCGACGGGUAGCCGGCCUGAGAGGGUGACCGGCCACAUUGGGACUGAGAUACGGCCCAGACUCCUACGGGAGGCAGCAGUGGGGAAUAUUGCACAAUGGGCGCAAGCCUGAUGCAGCAACGCCGCGUGCGGGAUGACGGCCUUCGGGUUGUAAACCGCUUUCAGCAGGGACGAAGCUUUUUGUGACGGUACCUGCAGAAGAAGCACCGGCUAACUACGUG
rnacentral:rRNA from 1 species